GUCUAGUUAAGCAAUCUAUACUGUGAAACUGCGAAUGGCUCAUUAAAUCAGUUAUCGUUUAUUUGAUAGUACCUUACUACUUGGAUAACCGUGGUAAUUCUAGAGCUAAUACAUGCUAAAAACCUCGACUUCGGAAGGGGUGUAUUUAUUAGAUAAAAAACCAAUGCCCUUCGGGGCUCCUUGGUGAUUCAUGAUAACUUAACGAAUCGCAUGGCCUUGCGCCGGCGAUGGUUCAUUCAAAUUUCUGCCCUAUCAACUUUCGAUGGUAGGAUAGUGGCCUACCAUGGUAGCAACGGGUAACGGGGAAUUAGGGUUCUAUUCCGGAGAGGGAGCCUGAGAAACGGCUACCACAUCCAAGGAAGGCAGCAGGCGCGCAAAUUACCCAAUCCCGACACGGGGAGGUAGUGACAAUAAAUACUGAUACAGGGCUCUUUCGAGUCUUGUAAUUGGAAUGAGUACAAUUUAAAUACCUUAACGAGGAACAAUUGGAGGGCAAGUCUGGUGCCAGCAGCCGCGGUAAUUCCAGCUCCAAUAGCGUAUAUUAAAGUUGUUGCAGUUAAAAAGCUCGUAGUUGAACCUUGGGCCUGGCUGGCCGGUCCGCCUCACCGCGUGUACUGGUCCGGCCGGGCCUUUCCUUCUGGGGAUCCGCAUGCCCUUCACUGGGUGGUGUCGGGGAACCAGGACUUUUACUUUGAAAAAAUUAGAGUGUUCAAAGCAGGCCUUUGCUCGAAUACAUUAGCAUGGAAUAAUAGGAAUAGGACGUGCGGUCCUAUUUUGUUGGUUUCUAGGACCGCCGUAAUGAUUAAUAGGGGAUAGUCGGGGGCAUCAGUAUUCAAUUGUCAGAGGUGAAAUUCUUGGAUUUAUUGAAGACUAACUACUGCGAAAGCAUUUGCCAAGGAUGUUUUCAUUAAUCAGUGAACGAAAGUAAGGGGAUCGAAGACGAUCAAAUACCGUCGUAGUCUUAACCGUAAACUAUGCCGACUAGGGAUCGGGCGAAUG
rnacentral:rRNA from 1 species